rnacentral:rRNA from 1 species
ACGCACGCUGGCGGCAUGCCUAACACAUGCAAGUCGAACGAGACCUUCGGGUCUAGUGGCGCACGGGUGCGUAACGCGUGGGAAUCUACCCUCAGGUUCGGAAUAACUCAGAGAAAUUUGAGCUAAUACCGGAUGAUGACGUAAGUCCAAAGAUUUAUCGCCUGAGGAUGAGCCCGCGUAGGAUUAGGUAGUUGGUGAGGUAAAGGCUCACCAAGCCGACGAUCCUUAGCUGGUCUGAGAGGAUGAUCAGCCACACUGGGACUGAGACACGGCCCAGACUCCUACGGGAGGCAGCAGUGGGGAAUAUUGGACAAUGGGCGAAAGCCUGAUCCAGCAAUGCCGCGUGAGUGAUGAAGGCCUUAGGGUUGUAAAGCUCUUUUACCCGGGAUGAUAAUGACAGUACCGGGAGAAUAAGCUCCGGCUAACUCCGUG